rnacentral:rRNA from 1 species
GAAUGGCAUCACGAAGGUUAUACUGUCUCCUUUCUCUAAUCAGUGAAACUAAUCUUCCCGUGAAGAAGCGGGAAUCUACAUAUAAGACGAGAAGACCCUAUGGAGCUUUAAACGAAAUAACAACUACCACAAUAAAUAAUAAUUCCAGAAGCUUAACUUUUACCCAGGUAUUUUGUCUAUUAGUUUUAGGUUGGGGUGACCGCGGAGCAAAAGACAACCUCCGCACUGAACGGGGCCAACCCUAAGCAAAAAGCUACAACUUUAUGUAUCAGCACACUGACACCAAUUGACCCAAUAAUUUGAUCAACGAACCAAGUUACCCUAGGGAUAACAGCGCAAUCCAUUUCAAGAGCCCCUAUCGACAAAUGG